AUGGAUUCACAGGCCCAGGUCCUUAUGUUGCUGCUGCUAUGUGUAUCUGGUGAGAAAUGUAAAAGUACCUGUGAGGACAUUGUGAUGACUCAGUCUCCAUCCUCCCUGGCUGUGUCAGCAGGAGAGAAGGUCACUAUGAGCUGCAAGUCCAGUCAGAGUCUUUUAUGGAGUAGCAAUCAAAAGAACUACUUGGCCUGGUACCAGCAGAAACCAGGGCAGUCUCCUAAACUGCUGAUCUNCUGGGCAUCCACUAGGGAAUCUGGGGUCCCUGAUCGCUUCANAGGCAGUGGAUCUGGGACAGAUUUCACUCUGACCAUCAGCAGUGUGCAGGCUGAAGACCUGGCAGUUUAUUACUGUCAGCAAUAUUAUAAUAUUUAUGGAGGUUCUACAAAUAUCCUAAAGCUUUUUGCAUAG